rnacentral:rRNA from 1 species
AACGUUCCGUAGGUGAACCUGCGGAAGGAUCACUA